rnacentral:rRNA from 1 species
AGCGAACGCUGGCGGCAGGCCUAACACAUGCAAGUCGAACGGACCAUGCGGGGUUAGUGGCGGACGGGUGAGUAACACGUGGGAACGUGCCUUUAGGUUCGGAAUAAGCCCGGGAAACUGGGUCUAAUACCGAAUGUGCCCUUCGGGGGAAAGAUUUAUCGCCUUUAGAGCGGCCCGCGUCUGAUUAGCUAGUUUGUGAGGUAAAAGCUCACCAAGGCGACGAUCAGUAGCUGGUCUGAGAGGAUGAUCAGCCACACUGGGACUGAGACACGGCCCAGACUCCUACGGGAGGCAGCAGUGGGGAAUCUUGCGCAAUGGGCGAAAGCCUGACGCAGCCAUGCCGCGUGAAUGAUGAAGGUCUUAGGAUUGUAAAAUUCUUUCACCGGGGACGAUAAUGACGGUACCCGGAGAAGAAGCCCCGGCUAACUUCGUGCCAGCCGCCGCAGUAAAAC